rnacentral:rRNA from 1 species
GACGAACGCUGGCGGCGUGCUUAACACAUGCAAGUCGAACGGAAAGGCCCCUUUGUUGGUACUCGAGUGGCGACCGGGUGCGUAACACUUGAGUAACCUUCCCUUGACUUCGGGAUAACUUCAGGAAACUGGGGCUAAUACCGGAUAGGAAUCCUUUCUUCAUGGUGGUGGUUGGAAAGCUUCGGCGGUUUUGGAUGGACUUGCGGCUUAUCAGCUUGUUGGUGGGGUAGUGGCUUACCAAGGCUUUGACGGGUAGCCGGCCUGAGAGGGCGACCGGCCACAUUGGGACUGAGAUACGGCCCAGACUCCUACGGGAGGAAGCAGUGGGGAAUAUUGCACAAUGGGCGGAAGCCUGAUGCAGCAACGCCGCGUGCGGGAUGACGGCCUUCGGGUUGUAAAACGCUUUCAGCAGGGGCGAAGCUUGUGGUGACGGUACCUGCAGAAGAAGCACCGGCUAACUACGUG